rnacentral:snRNA from 1 species
AAGCAUGGCCCCUGCACAAGGAUGACACAUAAAUUCCGUGAUGCUUUUCUUUUUCUA